rnacentral:rRNA from 1 species
GGCUCAGUAGGUUGGUCGUGCCACCGGUACGUACUGGUCUCACUGAUUCCUCCUUCCUGAAGAACCGUAAUGCCAUUAAUUUGGUGUUGCGGGGAAACAGGACUGUUACUUUGAAAAAAUUACAGUGUUUAAAGCAAGCUAACGCUUGAAUACAUUAGCAUGAAAUAAUGAAAUAGGACGAUCGAUCCUAUUUUGUUGGUUUCUAGGAUUGACGUA